rnacentral:rRNA from 1 species
AUAAACGCUGGCGGCGCACAUAAGACAUGCAAGUCGAACGGAAGUCGUUACGAAAUGGAAUGAAGAUUUAUCUGAUUGAAGUUUUGUAACAAUGGCUUUAGUGGCGGACUGGUGAGUAACACGUAAGCAAUCUACCUAUUAGAGGGGAAUAACAAUGAGAAAUCAUUGCUAAUACCGCAUAAGCUUGUAGUACCGCAUGGUACAGCAAGAAAAGGAGCAAUCCGCUAAUAGAUGAGCUUGCGGCUGAUUAGCUAGUUGGUGUGGUAACGGCAUACCAAGGCAACGAUCAGUAGCCGGGCUGAGAGGCUCUUCGGCCACAUUGGGACUGAGAUACGGCCCAGACUCCUACGGGAGGCAGCAGUCGGGAAUUUUGCGCAAUGGAGGAAACUCUGACGCAGUGACGCCGCGUAUAGGAAGAAGGUUUUCGGAUUGUAAACUAUUUUAGUCAGGGAAGAAAAAUGACAGUACCUGAAGAAUAAGCUCCGGCUAACUACGUGCCAGCAGCCGCGGUAAUACGUAGGGAGCAAGCGUUAUCCGGAUUUAUUGGGUGUAAAGGGUGCGUAGACGGGAAGACAAGUUGGUUGUGAAAGCCCUCGGCUCAACUGAGGAACUGCAACCAAAACUAUCAUUCUUGAGUGCGGGAGAGGAAAGUGGAAUUCCUAGUGUAGCGGUGAAAUGCGUAGAUAUUAGGAGGAACACCAGUGGCGAAGGCGACUUUCUGGACCGUAACUGACGUUGAGGCACGAAAGUGUGGGGAGCAAACAGGAUUAGAUACCCUGGUAGUCCACACCGUAAACGAUGGAUACUAGGUGUAGGGAACGAUAUGUUUUCUGUGCCGAAAGCAAACGCAAUAAGUAUCCCACCUGGGGAGUACGGCCGCAAGGUUGAAACUCAAAGGAAUUGACGGGGGCCCGCACAAGCAGUGGAGUAUGUGGUUUAAUUCGAAGCAACGCGAAGAACCUUACCAGGGCUUGACAUCCUUCUGACCGGUACUUAACCGUACCUUCUCUUCGGAGCAGGAGUGACAGGUGGUGCAUGGUUGUCGUCAGCUCGUGUCGUGAGAUGUUGGGUUAAGUCCCGCAACGAGCGCAACCCCUAUUUCUAGUUGCCAGCACGUAAAGGUGGGAACUCUAGAGAGACUGCCGAUGAUGAAUCGGAGGAAGGUGGGGACGACGUCAAAUCAUCAUGCCCUUUAUGUCCUGGGCUACACACGUACUACAAUGGCCGUAACAGAGAGAAACGAAACAGUGAUGUGGAGUAAAACUUAAAAAAGCGGUCUCAGUUCGGAUUGAAGGCUGAAAUUCGCCUACAUGAAGUUGGAAUUGCUAGUAAUGGCAGGUCAGCAUACUGCCGUGAAUACGUUCCCGGGCCUUGUACACACCGCCCGUCACACCAUGAGAGUUGGAGAUACCCGAAGCCUGUGAGCUAACUUUUAGAGGCAGCAGUCGAAGGUAGAGCCAAUGAUUGGGGUG